rnacentral:rRNA from 1 species
CGUGUAGGCGGCCUUGUAAGUCAGGUGUGAAAUCCUUCGGCUCAACCGGAGACGUGCACCUGAUACUGCAAGGCUUGAGUGCAGGAGAGGAGAGUGGAAUUCCUGGUGUAGCGGUGAAAUGCGUAGAUAUCAGGAAGAACACCAGUGGCGAAGGCGACUCUCUGGCCUGUCACUGACGCUGAGGCGCGAAAGCCAGGGGAGCGAACA